rnacentral:lncRNA from 1 species
AAACAAACAAAGGAUAGUAACAUCACAUCCACGGCUAAGGCUAACAGCUAUUUGUCAAACAGACAAAGCAAAAUCAGAAGCUCAAAGUCAUCCAGCCAAUGGUCACAUCUAUUCCCUACAAUCAAAGUACCCAGUCACCCAGCCAAUGGUAUCAUCACAGCCUCAAAUACACAUGCACAUACACAAACAAAUGAUAUGAUUUAAAUUAAUUU